UGUAUGUAUGUAUGUAUGUAUGUAUGUAUGUAUGUAUGUAUGUAUGUAUGUAUGUAUGUAUGUAUGUAUGUAUGUAUGUAUGUAUGUAUGUAUGUAUAUAAUAUGGCCCAAGCUCCAGCGUGUUUUAUAUAACAUGUUAAUUUUUAUAGGGGCUGUUGAAUGGAACGAAAUAAACAAUGCUAAAGAUGCAAAUGCUUUUGGCGGUACGCAUCCUGAUUCAAAAUGCACAAAUGCUGCACAUAGUGAAUUAUCGGUUUAUAAAAAACGUUGGAAAUUUACCUGAUUCGAUUUAGUUGAUGAUUUAAUUGAUUCAGAAUAGUUUAUUUAAAUAAAAUAUAUAGUUUUAUUUUA